rnacentral:rRNA from 1 species
GAUGAACGCUGGCGGCGUGCCUAAUACAUGCAAGUCGAGCGAAUGGAUUAAGAGCUUGCUCCUAUGAAGUUAGCGGCGGACGGGUGAGUAACACGUGGGUAACCUGCCCAUAAGACUGGGAUAACUCCGGGAAACCGGGGCUAAUACCGGAUAACAUUUUGAACCGCAUGGUUCGAAAUUGAAAGGCGGCUUCGGCUGUCACUUAUGGAUGGACCCGCGUCGCAUUAGCUAGUUGGUGAGGUAACGGCUCACCAGGGCAACGAUGCGUAGCCGACCUGAGAGGGUGAUCGGCCACACUGGGACUGAGACACGGCCCAGACUCCUACGGGAGGCAGCAGUAGGGAAUCUUCCGCAAUGGACGAAAGUCUGACGGAGCAACGCCGCGUGAGUGAUGAAGGCUUUCGGGUCGUAAAACUCUGUUGUUAGGGAAGAACAAGUGCUAGUUGAAUAAGCUGGCACCUUGACGGUACCUAACCAGAAAGCCACGGCUAACUACGUGCCAGCCGCCGCCGUAA